GUCCUCUGGAAGAAGCUUUCUGCAGAAAUAAUCCAGCAGACACAAGACAACGGAGGUACUCGGUGGAAAGGGAAGUAUGGUUUGAGCCCCUGGAUCCAGCUAUAGUUGAAGCCACAGCUAUGAUGAGCUUAAAUGAGCCCAAGAAGUUUUUUUUAAUUGCUUCAUCCACUUGGAAUUUGCAGUCUGUCCCUGGCAAAAGAGCCAGUACUAAUGCAUAUCUGCUCUGUGAACUCUUCCUUAGCUGCCUUGCUCAAAAGCUAAUCAUUCCUUCUCUUAUACUUUGAACUUUAGUACCCUCCACUGAUUUCCAUCAUUGCCUGGUUUAUGCCAUGUUGUAAUUGCUUGUUUCAGCCCUCUCAACUUUGACUUGUAGGAGCAAGGACCUAAGAGGUUUCCUGGGGCUCUAUUUGGGGCUGUUCAGGACAGUUUACCCUCCCCUAUCAUCAUGAAUGCAUGACCCAGGCUGGGGCAAUCAGAAGGCUUCCCUGGCUGGCUGAGCAUGGUGGCUGAUGCCUGUAAUCCCAGCACUUUGGGAGGCCGGCCGGUGGAUCACCUGAGCCCAGGAGUUCGAGACCAGCCUGGGGAACAUAGCGAGACCUCAUCUCUCCAAAAAAAACUUAAGAAGAAUUAGCUGGGCGUGGUGGCACGUGCCUGUAAUUCCAACUACUUGGGAGGCUGAGAUGGGAAGAUGGCUUGAGCUUGGGAUUUCGAGGCUGCAGUGAGCCAUGAUCAUGCUACUGCACUCUACCCUGGGUGACAGAGCGAGAUCCUAUGAAAAAAAAAAAAAAAAUCUUCCUUGGGAUGGUUUUGGGAUUGCAGA
rnacentral:lncRNA from 1 species